AGCCUUGUUUCAUGAAAAGAAAAAGAGAAAAGGCUAUCUCUGGAAAUGCUGUUCAUCUCUGCUGUCAUAUUGAGAAACAGUGCAUCUUGCCAGAGUGAUAUGUCCAGGUUUCUGGGCUUUUGUUGUUAGGUGUUUUUGAAGCCAGGCAAGAGUACAAGGAGGGUGAUGGUGUCAACACCAAGGUCUGUGCAAGUCACUUGAUCCUGAAAAAUGUACAGAAUCCAUCUUCAUCCUGCUUUUAAUUAAAUUUUCCAUUUGUUCAAG